UGGACCCCGCGCCGCGUUCUCGCGAGACUGCCGGGCCGCACCACCCACUGGGCGGGCCCGCCGCCACUCAGCUGAUGAGGACUUCCGGCCCCGCCCCGGAAACAGGACGGGGCGUCUGACAAGGUUCCUGGGUUGGUUAACGCCGUGUGUCACCCGCUGAGUUUUCAGAAAGAGAAAGGAGCCCAGCGCCCCGAGGCUCACUUCUAACUGGCUGCGACCGGGGCGGGCUCCUGAGGCUGGCUUGGCCUUCCCUCCUUGGGGCCUGGGACAAGGUUUCUGAACCGCGUUAUUGGUCACCCCGGUGGCCCUGUCCUGCCGGUCUGGCCUGUACCCUGUAGGAUGUUCAGCAGUUCCCUGGUCUCUGCUGUCCCCCUAGAUACCUGCCUCAGCCUCACCAGCCCUGGUUGUGACAACCAAGAGUGUCCCCAGAAGUCCGCUAAAGGACCCUUGGAGGCCUCACGUCCUGUUGAGAACAAGUGACCAGGCUGCACCCUGUCUCGGCCUUGGCAGAGAUGCCAGACCUCCCGUGGUCAGUGGGCUGGCAUCUGGAGGCCCAGCUGUCCUCCCACAAGCCUUUGUGACCCACCAGGCAAAGGUGAUUUCACCCUAUCCCAGCAACCCUUCCUCCAUACUGCCUCCUGUAGUAUCGGUUUAUUCUUUUGCCUCUGAUUUGUACAUGUUCUCUACAGGUCCCGGAUUCGCAGUGACAGAGUUCUUAGGUGUCUUCUUCCUCACCGUGCCCCUGCAUUUAGGACAGUGCUUGACAUCUCCUGGAGUGGCAGUGUCUUCCAACAGCAGCCCCAGCAAGGCUUUAGUAAUUGAGAUCCACAGCUCCAGGGAUUCAAAUGGUAAGACAUCUGCAGCAGUCAGGUGUUCACCUACAGGAGGCGUGGGGGAGAAGGAAAAGAAAUAGUGAAAGAAGAUGACCUGCUUCCUCCUAGUGCAACUGGUGCAAGAUGGUUAAAACUUACAGGAAAGAUCAAUAGAGACAAGUACAACGGAGAACUGAAGCACAGAUAUAAAAUACCUCAACCCAUGCCAAUAAAGGGGUUUCCAGUCCAUGAGGGAAAGGAUGAAUUGUUCAUAAAUUCUGUUGGAAAAAGCAACGACAUGGGGAAACAGGCUUCAUAUUUUUUACUGACAAAAUUUACAGAUGGAUAAAUAUUGACGAAACCAGCAAUACAAAAACAUUAGGGGAAAAUUGGCAAAUACGAAAUCUUUGAGAGGGGAUCUUUUUAAAGGCUAAAACAAGUUAGAAGCUAUUUAUUGAAAAAGUUGAUUUGUCUACGUAAAGACUUAAGACAACGUGUAUACAAUGUUUUGGUUCAAAAACAACAUGUAUAAAAAAUAAUCUCAAUUAACUGAAAAAAAACCCCACGUACCUUCAAUACAUAGAACAAAGUUAAUGUCUUUAUUGUAUGAAGCAUUCUUCAGAACUUCAUGGAACUGCAUGCAGCUGAUCCAUGAGAGUGGCACAGAAGCAGCCAGGGCCUUCAGAGCAGAGCUUAAUCCAUGGUGCCUUGGGUUGAGUUGCAGCUGGCUGGCUACACUCAAGGGCCAGAAGUGGGUAUGUGACCUAAGCCUGUCCAAUCAUCAGCGGCUCAUCUGUCAAGCUUCACUGAUUGGUUCAGAGAUGGACAUGUGACCCAAGUUGGUGAGCACAAUAAGCCGUACUCUCUUGGAUGGCUGGGUCUGUGACCUAAGCUGUGUAACCAGCAGCAUCCCAUCUACAGAGCUGCAGGGCCUGCUGCAGGGACGGAAUAUCCAAGUUAGCUAGAGCUAAAGCCAGGAUUGAUUCUGGAAUGUUCAGAAGGGAGAGAUUCAUCUUCUACUGAGAUUAAUGGAAGUUUUGUUAUUGCUGCUGCUGCUGCUGCUACUGCUGAGGUUUUUAUUUUGAGCUUAGUGUUAUAAAGACAAGCCUGGAGUUGUCGGGUCAUUUUGUGAAACAAACCUCCCUACAGUGACUGGAAACACACCUCUCUUCUCUUCGGAGAGCUAUGGCAAAGGUCUACAAAACAAAACAAAAAGAUAGCUUACCAGUCUGGAUUCUAGACAGCCUUAAGUCAUUCUCUCCAGGGUGCUUCAUCAUGAGUUCCUAAAUUCUCUUUUUGAGUGAGCAGAUCUGAUAAUGACUUGUAAUUGAAAAAGUCUUGGCCAAUUCAAGGAGUACUGUACAUGCAUGUGCAUACACAAACAGAAAAGAAAAUGGUAUAUGUGCUUUUAUGAAACAAAGUACACCAGUAAUUUUAUUUGUUUGUUUGUUUGUUUAUUUAUUUAUUUGGAUAAAGGGACUUGCUAUGUAGCCCAGGCUAGCCUCAAACUCAUAGCAAUCCUCCUGACUCAGCC
ensembl:lincRNA